GGGUUGUGAGGUUAAGCGACUAAGCGUACACGGUGGAUGCCCUGGCAGUCAGAGGCGAUGAAGGGCGUGCUAAUCUGCGAUAAGCGCCGGUAAGGUGAUAUGAACCGUUAUAACCGGCGAUACCCGAAUGGGGAAACCCAGUGUGACUCGUCACACUAUCAUUAACUGAAUCCAUAGGUUAAUGAGGCGAACCGGGGGAACUGAAACAUCUAAGUACCCCGAGGAAAAGAAAUCAACCGAGAUUCCCCCAGUAGCGGCGAGCGAACGGGGAGGAGCCCAGAGCCUGAAUCAGCAUGUGUGUUAGUGGAAGCGUCUGGAAAGGCGCGCGAUACAGGGUGACAGCCCCGUACACAAAAGCGCAUGUGCUGUGAGCUCGAUGAGUAGGGCGGGACACGUGGUAUCCUGUCUGAAUAUGGGGGGACCAUCCUCCAAGGCUAAAUACUCCUGACUGACCGAUAGUGAACCAGUACCGUGAGGGAAAGGCGAAAAGAACCCCGGCGAGGGGAGUGAAAAAGAACCUGAAACCGUGUACGUACAAGCAGUGGGAGCACCCUUCGGGGUGUGACUGCGUACCUUUUGUAUAAUGGGUCAGCGACUUAUAUUCUGUAGCAAGGUUAACCGUAUAGGGGAGCCGGAGGGAAACCGAGUCUUAACCGGGCGUUAAGUUGCAGGGUAUAGACCCGAAACCCGGUGAUCUAGCCAUGGGCAGGUUGAAGGUUGGGUAACACUAACUGGAGGACCGAACCGACUAAUGUUGAAAAAUUAGCGGAUGACCUGUGGCUGGGGGUGAAAGGCCAAUCAAACCGGGAGAUAGCUGGUUCUCCCCGAAAGCUAUUUAGGUAGCGCCUCGUGAAUUCAUCUCCGGGGGUAGAGCACUGUUUCGGCUAGGGGGCCAUCCCGGCUUACCAACCCGAUGCAAACUGCGAAUACCGGAGAAUGUUAUCACGGGAGACACACGGCGGGUGCUAACGUCCGUCGUGAAGAGGGAAACAACCCAGACCGCCAGCUAAGGUCCCAAAGUCAUGGUUAAGUGGGAAACGAUGUGGGAAGGCCCAGACAGCCAGGAUGUUGGCUUAGAAGCAGCCAUCAUUUAAAGAAAGCGUAAUAGCUCACUGGUCGAGUCGGCCUGCGCGGAAGAUGUAACGGGGCUAAACCAUGCACCGAAGCUGCGGCAGCGAACGUAUCACCCAAGACAACUUUACGGAGUUGACGAUUGACGGAGCGAAGCGACGUCAAAGCGUUCAUUAAAGUCGAGUUGGCUUAGGGAUACGUUCGUUGGGUAGGGGAGCGUUCUGUAAGCCUGUGAAGGUGUGUCGUGAGGCAUGCUGGAGGUAUCAGAAGUGCGAAUGCUGACAUAAGUAACGAUAAAGCGGGUGAAAAGCCCGCUCGCCGGAAGACCAAGGGUUCCUGUCCAACGUUAAUCGGGGCAGGGUGAGUCGACCCCUAAGGCGAGGCCGAAAGGCGUAGUCGAUGGGAAACGGGUUAAUAUUCCCGUACUUGGUGUUACUGCGAAGGGGGGACGGAGAAGGCUAUGUUGGCCGGGCGACGGUUGUCCCGGUUUAAGCGUGUAGGUGUGUGUUCCAGGUAAAUCCGGUU
rnacentral:rRNA from 1 species